rnacentral:rRNA from 1 species
AACGAACGCUGGCGGCAUGCCUAACACAUGCAAGUCGAACGAGACCUUCGGGUCUAGUGGCGCACGGGUGCGUAACGCGUGGGAACCUGCCUUUAGGUUCGGAAUAACUCAGAGAAAUUUGAGCUAAUACCGGAUGAUGUCUUCGGACCAAAGAUUUAUCGCCUUUUGAUGGGCCCGCGUUGGAUUAGCUAGUUGGUGGGGUAAAGGCCUACCAAGGCGACGAUCCAUAGCUGGUCUGAGAGGAUGAUCAGCCACACUGGGACUGAGACACGGCCCAGACUCCUACGGGAGGCAGCAGUGGGGAAUAUUGGACAAUGGGCGAAAGACUGAGCCAGCAAUGCCGCGUGAGUGAUGAAGGACUGAGGGUUGUAAAGCUCUUUUACCCGAGAUGAUAAUGACAGUAUCGGGAGAAUAAGCUCCGGCUAACUCCGUG